rnacentral:rRNA from 1 species
ACGGAAUAGAUACCCUGGUAGUCCACGCCCUAAACGAUGUCUACUAGUUGUUGGUGGAGUAAAAUCCAUGAGUAAACGCAGCUAAACGCGUGAAGUAGACCGCCUGGGGAGUACGGUCGCAAGAUUAAAACUCAAAUGAAUUGACGGGGGCCCGCACAAGCGGUGGAUUAUGUGGAUUAAUUCGAUGCAACGCGAAAACCUUACCUGGCCUUGACAUGUAACGAACUUUCCAGAGAUGGAUUGGUGCUCGAAAGAGAACGUUAACACAGGUGCUGCAUGGCUGUCGUCAGCUCGUGUCGUGAGAUGUUGGGUUAAAGUCCCGCAACGAGCGCAACCCUUGCCAUUAAUUGCCAUCAUUUAGUUGGGCACUUUAAUGGGACUGCCGGUGACAAACCGGAGGAAGGUGGGGAUGACGUCAAGUCCUCAUGGCCCGUUAUGGCCA